rnacentral:antisense_RNA from 1 species
GUUCUGACCGUGCUGAACGGCAGUGAUCCG